CUUUAACAAUCUGGAACAAGCUGAAAAUUGAAACACACAUUAUUGAAAAAUAGUGUGGGGAACUCUCAAAACUCCAAGUUGAAGUGUUAUGCAAAUAGGCAG
rnacentral:sRNA from 20 species